UACGUAGGUGGCAAGCGUUGUCCGGAAUUAUUGGGCGUAAAGCGCGCGCAGGCGGUCCUUUAAGUCUGAUGUGAAAGCCCACGGCUCAACCGUGGAGGGUCAUUGGAAACUGGGGGACUUGAGUACAGAAGAGAAGAGUGGAAUUCCACGUGUAGCGGUGAAAUGCGUAGAGAUGUGGAGGAACACCAGUGGCGAAGGCGGUUGCCUGGGGCUUUGCUGACGCUGAUGCGCGAAAGCGUGGGGAGCGAUCCGG
rnacentral:rRNA from 1 species